ACCAUUUUGUCUCUGAAACUCUCUGAAGCUCUCAGCUGUGAAUUAUACUUUUGGUUUUGUUUUUACUUAAAUCUCGCUAAACAUGUAGUUUAUCAAUUUAGACAACCAUAAUGUAAAACUCGCGCAGAACUUUUACAAUGUUCAGAUGCUUGAAUCUUCUUCUUCUGCUGCUGUUUUGCUUCAUCUAUCAGAGCGGAACCCUGCCUGUAGGAACCAGAACUAUACCGGUGUCAGGAAAAAAAGGAGAAAACAUCACACUGCCAUGUGAAUUUGAGAUUUUUCAGAUCUCGCCAGAAUAAUGUGAAACUGCAACGUUUUGGUUGCUAUGGACGCUGUUAUCGGUGGAUGGAUGGAUGGAUGAUUUUGCUCCGUCUGACGGAUCAAACCCUCGCCCACUAUAUGCGUUGUGUCUGAGGUUGAUUUGCUGAUCAACACAUUAAUCCAUGGCAGCGGGAGAAACUAAUGUUGACAAAGUGUUGACACGUCAAGGCCCCAUGAAGAAGAAGAAGAAGAAGUAGAGGAAAAAGAAGAAACGAGGGAAAAGAAGCAGGAAAAGUUAAACAAGGAGGAAAAGGAAGCGUGGAAAAAUAACUUGACCAAGCUGAAAAUGAAUCACCUUGACCCCCAAGAUGCCAUAUUCCUGGUUGAUGCGUUCCUGGAUGAGUGCAAGGUGGAUCAGCAUGGACAAGCUAAAGGAGGGUCAAAACAAUCCACAAAGCUGUGUGUUUGGCUUGAUGAGGACAAAGAUGGACAACCUUUGCCAAAAAGAUGUAGAGCUGGGGAGAACCGAAAGCGAGAUUCAGCUUCUGUUUCUUCAGCAAGCGUUAAAAGUGUGUGCUGUGCUCCAUCUACCAGCACAACUGAAGACACUGUGAUCAUCGAAAAUUUUGUUUUUUUCCCUUAAUACUUGUUUCCUCAUUUGUUAUGUGGUAACUGCUCAGAUUUACCAUUGCCUUCUUCAUUUUCAGACUCCCUCAUUCAAGAUGUCCGAGACCUCUUGGGAAGUGGUGCUGAACAACCUUUCUCCUCAGACUGGAGGAAAAGGCAAACUACCUCUCUGGAGAAUUGGACAGUAAUGAGACCCUUUAUGGUGAACAAUAUGUUGUCAUCUGAGAAGCCCAAGGAGGGGGUUUGCCAUCAUUGUGGACACAAGGCUGCAGUAGUGAUAUGUACACAGUAAAACCUCCAGUGUUAAAUCAACACUCC